rnacentral:misc_RNA from 1 species
CUCGAUAAUCCACGAACACCUUACCUCCCCUAGAUCUAACAGCUUGUGUACUGCCGUCGUAAGCACACCUCUAAAAGAACAAGUAUGCAAUCAUGACUAGUCUCAUAUACGUCAGGUCAAAGUGCAGCCAAUGGGGAAGGUGAUGAUGGGUUACAACCUAAAUAAAGACACGGAAUAAAGUUCUAAUAGCUUUAUAAAAGUGGACUUGGGUGUAAUAAUGACUAAAUACCAAAAUGAAAUCGAAUCUAAGACAUGCACACAUCGCCCGUCACUCUUGCCUAAAGGCAAGAUAAGUCGUAACAAAGUAGGUGUAACGGAAGUUGCACCUGUCGAAGUAUAGCAUAUAAAAUGCUUUUUACUUACACUAAAAAAAAGACAUUUGUCUACUCCGCUUAUCCCUAAUUAUUCUUAUAAAAAAUGAUUAAUAAAAACACUUCAAUCUCAAUUUUUCCAAUUAAAAAAACUAAAAGUACUAAAAAGGAAACGCCAAUCUUAUAGUAGUGAAUAGCUCACCUACCUUGUGCAUUAUGGUUUUACAAGCACAAAAUUAAAAAUUCUCUCCCGAAUUCUAUGCGAGCUGCUCCCUUAUAGCUAAGAGCCCACUACUAGUUGUAGCACUAACUUUAGAAAAUAGGGUAGCAGGGGCUACAUACCAAACGCGCUAGAAAAUUGCUGGUUAUUAGUAAAAUUUAUACAUUAAAACAUAUAAUUCUAUUAUAUUGUAAGAUUUUAGAGGAUAAGCCCUAAGAUCUUAAGCCAAAUAAUAACCACAAAGAAACUUAUAGGCCUAAAAACAGCCAUUAUAAAUACCUUACCGUAAACACCCACAUAAUAUAUAAGCAACCUGCCCCAAAAAACUAAUAUUUAAGAAAAACAGCAAUCUUAAUAUAAUAUGUAAAAAUAAGUAUUUUUCACCAACUAAUCCAACUCUAAUUAAAUACAAUAGCUUAUAAAGGAACUCGGCAAAUUCUUAUUUCGACUGUUUAACAAAAACAUUGCUUCUUGUCACACCAUAAGAA